rnacentral:rRNA from 1 species
AACGAACGCUGGCGGCAGGCCUAACACAUGCAAGUCGAACGAAGCCUUCGGGCUUAGUGGCGGACGGGUGAGUAACACGUGGGAACGUACCUUUUGGUUCGGAAUAACGCAGAGAGAUUUUCGCUAAUACCGAAUGAGCCCUUAGGGGGAAAGAUUUAUCGCCGAAAGAUCGGCCCGCGUUGGAUUAGGUAGUUGGUGUGGUAAAGGCGCACCAAGCCUACGAUUCAUAGCUGGUCUGAGUGGAUGAUCAGCCACACUGGGACUGAGACACGGCCCAGACUCCUACGGGAGGCAGCAGUGGGGAAUCUUGCGCAAUGGGCGAAAGCCUGACGCAGCCAUGCCGCGUGAAUGAUGAAGGUCUUAGGAUUGUAAAAUUCUUUUACCAGGGACGAUAAUGACGGUACCUGGAGAAAAAGCCCCGGCUAACUUCGUGCCAGCCGCCGCCGUAAUAC